rnacentral:piRNA from 1 species
GACACUGCUUAUAUAGAUUUGCACAUAGUA